CCUUGUGUUGCGUGCUCGCGGUGAUCGCCUGCUCAGCUGAGUUGUGUCGCUUCGGAAUGUCGCCAGAUUUUCCUCGUGAAUCCAGUUACGUCUUUAAAAAAAAAUUUCCCCUCCGCACAUGGGCGUGGGUUUUCACCCUGAGAAAACUCUGUACUUGGUAAAAAGCUAAACAACCUUUCCUUGCGGCUCUAGUACAAACCCUGGUCAUUGCGUAUUCUUUUAGCCCGAUGUGAAAACCGAUUCAAGUCUAGCUCUGUGUUUUGGUUUUGUAUUAGAAUUUGCCUCUGGCCUUAGCAGCACCUCAUUUCGUGUGUAUUAUCUGGAGUUGCUUCGCGCUGUUCUGCACCCUGCACUUGUGGCCAUGAACAAGACUUGCUCCUUGCUCUACUGCGGCUUUGAUUCUGCAAUACUCAUACAACAUGGCUGUUACUAAGUAACCUUGUCCUGAGGUGUAUUUGUCCCCAUGCUCAGCUUCUGGGAGUCUCAGCAGAAAGAAGCCAGAGUGGUACUUGUGUACUGAACCUCAUCCAAACCAACAUAUUGGAUUUUUUAUCAGCCUUCCUUCAGUAGAAUAUCAGUUUCAUGAAGAAGGGGACUUUGAUUUGUUUGCUGCUCUACCACCAGUGCCUGGUACAUGACAGGAGCUACCCUCCCCCACCCAAAUUCACAUGUCAAAGCCCCAACUCCCAGUACCUCAGAGUGUGACUGCAUUUAUAGGUAAGUUGUUUAAACAACUAAGUUAAAAUGAAGUCAUUAGGGUGGGCUCCAAUCCAACAUGACUGAUGUCCUUAUAAGAAAAGAAGAUUAGGACAGAGAGGUACAGAGGGAAGACCAUGUUAGACACAGGGGAAAGGGGGCCAGCUGCAAGACAAGGAGAGAGGCCUCAGAAGAAAGGAACAUUGCUGACACCUUGAUCUCACACUUCUGGCCUCCAGAACUAGGAGAAAAAUCCUUGCUGUUAAAUAAUUCCCUAGUCUGUUGUUCUUUGAUAUGACAGCCCUAGUAAACAAACAGUGUUUCUGAGAAUUAAGUGAGGAAAUGUACGCGAAUGCCAAGCCCAGGGCCUGGCAUGAGAAUGCACCCCAGCCUGGAUCAGCGACCACUGCCAUCACCACAGUGACUCCUGUGCAUCCUAGGCCGUGUGACUCAGGUGCCCUCCCAUCUUCACCUACCUGCUCCCCCGCUUAUCCGAUGGACCCUGGUCCUAUCACAUGAGGGUGUGACUCCUGACACCCAGGCGGCCCCGCCUGCUUUCUACUCCUGCUCACGUCCUUGCCACCAGGCAGGUCUCUGCUUCCUCACACCCACAACAGUCUCUCCAUCUCUUUCUAAACAAAUUCUUAUCUUAUUUCAGGGUCCGUUUUCAUUUUUGUGACUACUUUUGAAAACUUAAUAAUGCCUUUGGUGGCUCAGAUGGUAGAGAAUCUGCCUGCAAUGCAGGAGAACCAAGUUUGAUCCCUGGGCCAGGAAGAUCCCCUGGAGAAGGGAAUGGCAACCCACUCCAGUAUUCUUGCCUGGAGAAUUCCAUGGACAGAGGAGCCUGAAGAGCUUCAGUCCAUGGGGUCACAAAGAGUUGGACACGACUGAGCAACUAACACUCACUUGAAAACUUUAGCUCCGAAUAUACCCUGCACCUGUUUUUUUUCAGCUUUGAAAUACCAUUCAGAGGUUACUUUUAUCCAGUUCCACCUUUGAUGAAAAAACUGAGGGUAAGAGAGGGCCAGACCCAUGUUUGGAGUUGCAAAGCCUGUUGGUGAGUUGAUCAGAAUUUUUGUCCUGGUCCUGCUCCUCCCAUGGAAAGGGCUGUCCCCUAUAAGGCGCAGACCAGCCUCAGCAGACCCUGUUCUCCAUAAUACUCCCUAGCCUGUCAUACAGGUAUUUGGGGCUACCACGAGCAUGAGACUGUUCUCCCAGUAAAAACUCAACCCAACUUUACAUCACCACCCAAGCUUCAGCAAGACAGUACUGGAAGAGGUCCUCUGCCUCUCUCAACGUGAGUACACAGAAGCAGUGAAGCUACUGAGCUUUGUAGAGGAAUAAGCUGUGGAUCAUAUUCAUGCACCCCUCUGUUCUUUGUUUUAAAGAUUU